UCGGGUUGUAAAGCACUUUUGUCCGGAAAGAAAUCCUUGGCUCUAAUACAGCCGGGGGAUGACGGUACCGGAAGAAUAAGCACCGGCUAACUACGUGCCAGCAGCGCGGUAAUCGUAGGGUGCGAGCGUUAAUCGGAAUUACUGGGCGUAAAGCGUGCGCAGGCGGUUUGCUAAGACCGAUGUGAAAUCCCCGGGCUCAACCUGGGAACUGCAUUGGUGACUGGCAGGCUAGAGUAUGGCAGAGGGGGGUAGAAUUCCACGUGUAGCAGUGAAAUGCGUAGAGAUGUGGAGGAAUACCGAUGGCGAAGGCAGCCCCCUGGGCCAAUACUGACGCUCAUGCACGAAAGCGUGGGGAGCAAACAGGAUUAGAUACCCUGGUAGUCCACGCCCUAAACGAUGUCAACUAGUUGUUGGGGAUUCAUUUCCUUAGUAACGUAGCUAACGCGUGAAGUUGACCGCCUGGGGAGUACGGUCGCAAGAUUAAAACUCAAAGGAAUUGACGGGGACCCGCACAAGCGGUGGAUGAAUGUGGAUUAAUUCGAUGCAACGCGAAAAACCUUACCUACCCUUGACAUGGUCGGAAUCCUGCUG
rnacentral:rRNA from 1 species